rnacentral:rRNA from 1 species
GAUGAACGCUGGCGGCGUGCCUAAUACAUGCAAGUCGAGCGAACUGAUUAGAAGCUUGCUUCUAUGACGUUAGCGGCGGACGGGUGAGUAACACGUGGGCAACCUGCCUGUAAGACUAGGAUAACUUCGGGAAACCGAAGCUAAUACCGGACAGGAUCUUCUCCUUCAUGGGAGAUGAUUGAAAGAUGGUUUCGGCUAUCACUUACAGAUGGGCCCGCGGUGCAUUAGCUAGUUGGUGAGGUAACGGCUCACCAAGGCAACGAUGCAUAGCCGACCUGAGAGGGUGAUCGGCCACACUGGGACUGAGACACGGCCCAGACUCCUACGGGAGGCAGCAGUAGGGAAUCUUCCGCAAUGGACGAAAGUCUGACGGAGCAACGCCGCGUGAGUGAUGAAGGCUUUCGGGUCGUAAAACUCUGUUGUUAGGGAAGAACAAGUACAAGAGUAACUGCUUGUACCUUGACGGUACCUAACCAGAAAGCCACGGCUAACUACGUGCCAGCAGCCGCAGUAACAC